rnacentral:misc_RNA from 1 species
AACUUUUGACAACGGAUCACUUGGCUCUCGCAUCGAUGAAGGACGCAGCGAAAUGCGAUAAGUAAUGUGAAUUGCAGAAUUCCGUGAAUCAUCGAAUCUUUGAACGCACCUUGCGCUCCCUGGUAUUCCGGGGAGCACGCCUGCUCGCGGGUCUCGCACUUUCUCAAGCUUGGAUGGCUUUUUUGUCUGUCUUAGCCUUUGUUGUUGGGCUUUGCCGUGCCCUUCAUUGGGACGGCUGGCCUUAAAGGUAUUAGCUGAUCCUCGUGUGGCACUGGUUCUACUCAGCGUGAUAACAGUCUGAUCGCUGAGGACAUCUUUUGGGAUGGCCAGUCCUCAUUUUGGGUUGCUUCUAAACUUGGUUUUGCAGAUUCUUCAAUCUGUGGUUCCACUUUUCAACUUUGACCUCGAAUCAGGUGGGACUACCCGCUGAACUUAAGCAUAUCAAUAAGCGGAGGCU